GGACGAAUAGCUCAGUCGGUUAGAGCGUCUCGUUUACACCGAGAAGGCCGGGGGUUCGAGUCCCUCUUCGUCCACCA
rnacentral:tRNA from 1 species